CGUAGGGGGCAAGCGUUAUCCGGAUUUAUGGGCGUAAAGAGCUCGUAGGCGGUUUGUCGCGUCUGCCGUGAAAGUCCGAGGCUCAACCUCGGAUCUGCGGUGGGUACGGGCAGACUAGAGUGAUGUAGGGGAGACUGGAAUUCCUGGUGUAGCGGUGAAAUGCGCAGAUAUCAGGAGGAACACCGAUGGCGAAGGCAGGUCUCUGGGCAUUUACUGACGCUGAGGAGCGAAAGCAUGGGGAGCGAACAGGAUUAGAUACCCUGGUAGUCCAUGCCGUAAACGUUGGGCACUAGGUGUGGGGGACAUUCCACGUUUUCCGCGCCGUAGCUAACGCAUUAAGUGCCCCGCCUGGGGAGUACGGCCGCAAGGCUAAAACUCAAAGGAAUUGACGGGGGCCCGCACAAGCGGCGGAGCAUGCGGAUUAAUUCGAUGCAACGCGAAGAACCUUACCAAGGCUUGACAUGUGCCAGACCGGAUCAGAGAUGGUCUUUCCCUUCGGGGCUGGUUCACAGGUGGUGCAUGGUUGUCGUCAGCUCGUGUCGUGAGAUGUUGGGUUAAGUCCCGCAACGAGCGCAACCCUCGUUCCAUGUUGCCAGCACGUAGUGGUGGGGACUCAUGGGAGACUGCCGGGGUCAACUCGGAGGAAGGUGGGGAUGACGUCAAAUCAUCAUGCCCCUUAUGUCUUGGGCUUCACGCAUGCUACAAUGGCCGGUACAAUGGGUUGCGAUACUGUGAGGUGGAGCUAAUCCCUAAAAGCCGGUCUCAGUUCGGAUUGGGGUCUGCAACUCGACCCCAUGAAGUCGGAGUCGCUAGUAAUCGCAGAUCAGCAACGCUGCGGUGAAUACGUUCCCGGGCCUUGUACACACCGCCCGUCAAGUCACGAAAGUUGGUAACACCCGAAGCCGAUGGCCUAACCACCUUGUGUGGGGGGAGUCGUCGAAGGGGCCC
rnacentral:rRNA from 1 species